GGCGGACGGGUGAGUAAUGUCUGGGAAACUGCCUGAUGGAGGGGGAUAACUACUGGAAACGGUAGCUAAUACCGCAUGACGUCUUCGGACCAAAGUGGGGGACCUUCGGGCCUCACGCCAUCAGAUGUGCCCAGAUGGGAUUAGCUAGUAGGUGGGGUAAUGGCUCACCUAGGCGACGAUCUCUAGCUGGUCUGAGAGGAUGACCAGCCACACUGGAACUGAGACACGGUCCAGACUCCUACGGGAGGCAGCAGUGGGGAAUAUUGCACAAUGGGCGCAAGCCUGAUGCAGCCAUGCCGCGUGUAUGAAGAAGGCCUUCGGGUUGUAAAGUACUUUCAGCGAGGAGGAAGGCAUUGUGGUUAAUAACCUCAGUGAUUGACGUUACUCGCAGAAGAAGCACCGGCUAACUCCGUGCCAGCAGCCGCGGUAAUA
rnacentral:rRNA from 1 species